CCGUCGCUAACUAAGGUAAUUCUUCACCAAUCCCACUACAUGUUUGUCAUAGUUACGAGAUUCAGUUGAUUGAUGCUCGCAGCCAUGAUUCAUGGUCAGUUGGACCAAAUCGGACAUGCUAUCAGGUCCUUAUUUCUGAAAGUUGGCUCUGUUUUGGUUAUGGUUUUUAUUGUAUCUAAAUAAACAAUUUGAAUUAUGGCUUAUGGUGAAGGCCAGAGGAUAUUCUUUCCAUUAUGGUAAUUGAAAGUUACAUAUGGAAGAGUAGAAUUUUCAGUUUCUUAUUUUAUUUUUACUGUCGAUCGUUAAAGGAGAACUUUAGGUUUCUUAUUUAGGUUGGACAUUAUCAGGAAUCUUGUUCUGUCGCCUCUGCUUACUUUACUCUAAGGCAAUAUGUCCUUCUCUGAAUUUAUUCCAAUAUUGCAGAGCCUCUUCUAUUUUUUCCUUUUGGCAUGGACUAGGAUUCACAUUGAGUACUACAGUAUUCUGUAGAGUACAUGUCUGAUUAUUAUUAUUUUCCCUACACAUAUUCUAUGGAUGUGAAAUAGGAUAAUCUGUACUGAAUUUCUAUCAACAACAAGCGCCUCGAUGAGGACACUGAAUUUCUCUCCUGUGAGCAAUCAUUAAUCUCCCACUAUGUUCUUAUUCCUCCAUUGUCAAUGAUACGCCACGUUUUAAAAAUCUGAUUGGUUCAUGUAUGGUGUAGCUGUGUUGUUGUGUAUGACCAAAACAAGAGUCUUGAUCUUGUGAAAUCCCUAUGGGCUUGCCUGUAAAACCUAAUCGUUUCUAAUUACCUGUUUCUGAAGUGCAAAACACAGGACAUCCACAGUUCAGUAUUCUGAACUGAAACUCGACAGUUUUACUGGAAAGAAAUUAACAUAUAAUUAUAUAAAAACAAGUUAUACAAAAUUCAUGGAUGUGGGUAUUAUGGACAGAAUUCUUCUUUGCACAGACCUGAGUACUUGGUAGUGUAAAUAAAUAAAUGGAUGAGCUUUCAGAAGGUUUCAUACAACUGCAAUCUGCAGAUGCACUGUUCAAGAAAAAGGGAACCCAACUGCCUAUAGUUCAGGCCAGCCUCUGAUAUGUCUUUUUGAUUGAGUUAACUGGCACCGGAAUCUGAAUGUCUUUCACAGAGUUAUGGUUGUCCAGCUCAUUCAGACAUUUUGUUUCUCUUGCGACAAACAUCCUAUCUUCUGUACUUCCAAGCUCCUAUAUUUUUGAACUAGACAAUCAGCUUCUAGCUGUGCUGCACUUGCCAUAUUUCUUCUCAAACUAAACUUCUACACCAAUGCCAUUUUGUGUUUUUUUAAACUCUGAUGCUAUUGUUUCAACCAUUAAUAUUGAAAUGUGUUCCCCAAGCAUAUUUGAUAUUUAACUGUGCUUUGGUAAGGUGCCAGGUGCUACUGGACAAGUAGAUACAGAAAUACUUAUCAGUGGUGGUCAGCAGCCAGCAAGAGAAUUGUUUCCAUCUCAUGCCAUAUAUUUGUGUUGUAUCAGUAUCUAAACUGCUCCUGUGUGCAGGUAACAUAGGCAACAAUUCAAGUAUCGAAGGAACCUAUGGCUUUUGGAGUUCUGCUAGGAAAAUUCUCUUUUGUAAGAAGGCCAAAUCUUUUCCAAGGAUUUUCAAGUGACCAUGUAUUUCAGGUUUCUGUUCUGUCUCCAUUUUUAGGCUUCCUUGAAGUUCUACUGAAAUGGCUAUUUUGAGUGUUCGCUAUCAUUUCAAUAUGAAGUAACACGAGAAGUCAAAUUUUGUUGCAUUUUCUAUCCAUAUAUGAAAAGAAAUGAG
rnacentral:lncRNA from 1 species